UAUAAACGAGUUAAAAAAACAGCAUUGAGAUCUUACCUUUCUAUUGAGAUCUUAUAGUAGUUCCAAACUUCAUCAUGAAAACAACAUUCUUUCUGGUUGUCAUUAUUGCGCUGAUUGCUUUAAUUUCAGCAUCAAGCAUGCAGCGUUACAAGAUGACCAAAAAUGGAGACAUUG